GACGAACGCUGGCGGCGUGCUUAACACAUGCAAGUCGAACGGAAAGGCCCUGCUUUUGUGGGGUGCUCGAGUGGCGAACGGGUGAGUAACACGUGAGUAACCUGCCCUUGACGUUGGGAUAACUUCAUGAAACUUGGGCUAAUACCGGAUAGGAGCUCCUGCUGCAUGGUGGGGGUGGGAAAGUUUCGGCGGUUGGGGAUGGACUCGCGGCUUAUCAGCUUGUUGGUGGGGUAGUGGCUUACCAAGGCUUUGACGCGUAGCCGGCCUGAGAGGGUGACCGGCCCCAUUACGACUGGGCUGCGGCCCAGCCCACUCCGGGACGCAGCAGUGCAGAAUAUUGCCCAAUGGGCGGAACCCUGAUGCAGCACCGCCGCGUCCGGGAUAACGUCCUUGGGUUUGUAUAGUGAUUUCCCCUGUGCCGAAGCGUUAGUGACGGUACUCGGUAAAGAAGCCCCGGCUAACUACGUG
rnacentral:rRNA from 1 species